AGAGUUUGAUCCUGGCUCAGAACUAACGCUGGCGGCGUGCCUAACACAUGCAAGUCGUACGAGAAAGUUGGCUUCGGCCGAUGAGUAAAGUGGCGCACGGGUGAGUAAUGCGUGGAUAAUCUGCCCUUUAGUUGGGAAUAACGUACCGAAAGGUGCGCUAAUACCUGAUAAUACUGCAUAACUACUGUUGUGUAGUCAAAGAAGGCCUCUGUUUACAAGCUUUUGCUGAAGGAUGAGUCCGCGUACCAUUAGCUGGUUGGUGGGGUAAUGGCCUACCAAGGCUACGAUGGUUAGCUGGUCUGAGAGGAUGAUCAGCCACACUGGAACUGAGACACGGUCCAGACUCCUACGGGAGGCAGCAGUGAGGAAUAUUGCGCAAUGGGGGCAACCCUGACGCAGCAACGCCGCGUGAGUGAGGAAGGUUUUCGGACCGUAAAGCUCUGUCGAGCGGGAAGAAAUGUAUCAUGGCUAAUAUCCAUGAUACUUGACGGUACCGCUAAAGGAAGCACCGGCUAACUCCGUGCCAGCAGCCGCGGUAAUACGGGGGGUGCGAGCGUUGUUCGGAAUUAUUGGGCGUAAAGAGCGUGUAGGCGGCUGGAUCAGUCAGAUGUGAAAUCCCUGGGCUUAACCCAGGACGUGCAUUUGAAACUGUCCAGCUUGAGUAGGGGAGAGGAAAGUGGAAUUCCUGGUGUAGAGGUGAAAUUCGUAGAUAUCAGGAGGAACACCGGUGGCGAAGGCGACUUUCUGGCCCUAUACUGACGCUGAGACGCGAGAGCGUGGGUAGCAAACAGGAUUAGAUACCCUGGUAGUCCACGCUGUAAACGAUGUUCACUAGGUGUUGGGGGUAUUGACCCUCUCAGUGCCGCAGCUAACGCAUUAAGUGAACCGCCUGGGGAGUACGGUCGCAAGAUUAAAACUCAAAGGAAUUGACGGGGGCCC
rnacentral:rRNA from 1 species